UGUUGCUAGGAUGUAAGAGCCAUCACUGU
rnacentral:piRNA from 1 species